GUGGAUUAGAUACCCUGGUAGUCCACGCUGUAAACGAUGGAUGCUAGAUGUCGGGGAGUAUUCUUCGGUGUCGUAGUUAACGCGUUAAGCAUCCCGCCUGGGGAGUACGGUCGCAAGGCUGAAACUCAAAGAAAUUGACGGGGGCCCGCACAAGCGGUGGAGUAUGUGGUUUAAUUCGAUGCAACGCGAAGAACCUUACCUAGGUUUGACAUCCACGGAACCCUCCCGAAAAGGAGGGGUGCCCUUCGGGGAGCCGUGUGACAGGUGCUGCACGGUCGUCGCCAACU
rnacentral:rRNA from 1 species